GGCACAUUGGCAGGUAACGAACGGCGGCGGCGGCGGCGGUGGGUCCCGAGUUCAGCGAGAGCAGCUGCGGUGCUUAAUUCUAGUGGGAAGACAGUGCAGUUAGGAAUGAGGAUGCUGUUGGGAGUGACAGAGGAAAGCACUGCCAGUUGAUUCCAGAUUUUCUAUUUUGUGCAUACAUUAUUUUGUAUAUACUGUAUAUGAUGACUUCGGUGAGCAGUGACCGGUCCAGAGGUGCUCGGGAAAAGCCACAGAUUUCAGCGACACAGGCAACACAACUACAGAAACAAGUGGUACAGUUGUAUGUGCUUUUCCAGGCAACAGCUGAACAGAUGCGUCUUGCUCAAGUGAUCUUUGAUAAAAAUGAUUCAGAGUUUGAAGCUAAAGUUAAACAGCUUAUGGAAGUGACAGGAAAAAAUCAGGAUGAAUGCAUAGUGGCUUUGCAUGACUGUAAUGGAGAUGUCAACAAAGCUAUCAAUAUAUUGCUGGAAGGGAAUUCAGACACGACUUCAUGGGAGACUGUAGGAGGGAAGAAGAAGAAUUUUGGAAAAGAAAGUUCAGAAAACAAAGAGAAUAGAGAGAAGAGAAGUGAGAGAGAAGUGAGCCGUGGACGUGGAAGCAACAACCGGAAAGUAAGAGGUGGCAAUCGUGGGAGAGACUUUAGAGGUGAAGAGAAUGGAAUUGAUUGCAAUCAAGGGGACAAGCCUUCAGACCGUGGCAAGAGAGCUCGUGGUAGAGCGUUUGGACGUGGCAGAGGGAGAGGGGCAGGAAGAUUCUCAACACAAGGCAUGGGGGCAUUUAACCCUGCGGACUAUUCAGAUUCUCCAUCUAUAGAUGGGUGUGGGACAAAACCAGUAGGUUGGGAAGCUGCUCAGAAUGGUGCAGAUGAGGGAACUGAACUGGCAUCAAAUGCUCAAAAUGUAGCUCAGAAUCUGCCAAACAAAAAUUCUUUGGGACUCAAAGGGGCCUGGAAGAAUUCUGUGGACGAGUGGACAACGGAAGACUGGACUGAAGAUCUUUCUGAAACAAAGGUCUUCACUUCCUCAUCUGCUCCAGCAGAGCAUCUUGUCACACCUGGGCAAAGUGUUGAUCUGGUAGCCUUGCUCCAGAAGCCUGUUCCUCACAACAGUCAAGCCUCAGAAGUCAACUCCUUUGAAACUUCCCAACAGCAGGGCUUUGGCCAAGCCCUUGUCUUCACAAAUUCUCAGCACAACAGUCAGAUGGCACAAGGGACUGGCAGCUCCACUGCUGUCAAUCCCUAUCCACCUCAGAGUCUGUCAUCCGUCCUUGGUUCAGGAUUUGGAGAGCUCGCACCUUCCAAAAUGGCAAACAUCACCAGCUCCCAGAUUUUGGACCAGUUGGAAGCUCCAAGUUUGGGCCAGUUUACCACCACCCCAAGUUCACAGCAGAAUAAUACAGGUCCUCCCACAACCGCUUCUUCUUGGGACCUCAAGCCCUCAGCAUCCCAGUCCUCAGUCCUUAGUCAUUUUGACUUCAAAUCUCAGCCUGAGCCAUCCCCUGUUCUUAGCCAACUGAGCCAACGACAGCAGCAGCAGACUCAGGCAGUCACUGUUCCUCCUCCUGGGUUGGAGUCCUUUCCUUCCCAGGUGAAACUCCGAGAGUCAGCACCCAGAGACAGCAGUACCUCCACUGUGAACAAACUUCUGCAGCUUCCCAGCAUGACUGUCGAAAACAUCGCCGUGUCUGCUCACCAGCCACAGCCUAAACACAUCAAACUCCCUAAACGGCGAAUACCUCCAGCUUCUAAGAUCCCAGCUUCUGCAGUGGAAAUGCCUGGUUCAGCAGAUGUCACAGGAUUAAAUGUCCAGUUUGGCGCCUUGGAAUUUGGAUCAGAACCGUCUCUCUCUGAAUUUGGAUCAGCUGCAAGCAGUGAAAAUAGUAGCCAGAUACCCAUUAGCUUGUAUUCGAAAUCUUUAAGUGACUCUUUGAAUACCUCCCUAGCAGUGACCAGUGCAGUGCAGAACUCCACCCACACAACUUCAGUCAUUACCUCCUCCAGUCUGACCAGCUCAUCGCUGAGCUCCACUAGUCCCGUAACAACAUCUUCCUCCUACGACCAGAGUUCUGUGCAUGACAGGAGCGCGUACCAAAGCUCUGUGAGUCCAUCGGAGUCAGCUCCAGGAACCAUCAUGAAUGGACAUGGUGGUAGUCGAAGUCAGCAGACAGUAGACACUCCUUCAUCUGUUCCAGCUCCAAAGACAACAGACCCUCCCUCCGCCCUCCCAUCCGUGGGCUCCCUGCCCAGCACCACCUCCUGCACUCCACUUCUGCCCUCUGUACCCCAGCACACUGCCGCUCUGCCCUCCUUGUCCCAGCCUGGUGACCUGUCCAGCAGCCCCCUCUCUCAGCUUAGCAGCUCUCUCUCCGGCCACCAGAGCAGCCUCUCCUCUGCGCACACGGUGCUCUCCACCAGCACGUCACACACGCCCUGCUGCAUUACAUUAUUUAAUCAGGCCUCCUCUGAUGGAACUUUAGGGCCAUUUUCAGUCUUGAUACCUUGGAAAUACUGUGGGUUCAGUUAUAGACCACCACCGUGGGAAUAUUGUGGGAAACAUGCCGGCGUGGAGAGCGCCCCUUCCCUCCAGUCCUCAGCCACCUUCUCAACGGCAGCAACCUGUGCCUCGAGUGCCGCGUCCUCAGGGCUCAGCCUGCCAAGCAGCAUGAACACGGUCAACAGCCUCUGCCUGGGCGGUACCGCUGUGAGUGCCCCCAGCAGCAGUGCCAGGGCCACGCCCUUGGUGACCUCAGGCAAAGCGCCCCCCAGCCUGCCCCAGGGGGCGCCUCCCCUGCUGCACAGCCAGUACCUCGUGGGCCCCGGAGGACUGCUUCCUGCCUACCCGGUUUAUGGCUAUGACGAGCUCCAGAUGCUGCAGUCACGGCUGCCGAUGGAUUACUAUGGGAUUCCUUUCGCUGCACCCGCAGCCCUCGCCAGUCGAGAUGGGAGCCUUGCUAAUAAUCCCUAUUCAGGUGAUGUCACAAAGUUUGGCCGAGGAGACUCUGCGUCCCCUGCACCUGCCACCACCCUGGCUCAGCCCCAGCAGAGCCAGUCCCAGGCCCACCACACAGCCCAGCAGCCCUUUCUGAACCCUGCCCUGCCACCUGGCUACAGCUACACUGGCCUCCCCUACUAUACAGGCGUACCCAGUGCCUUCCAGUAUGGGCCCACCGUGUUUGUCCCCCCGGCCUCAGCCAAGCAGCACGGUGUGAGCCUCAGCAGCCCCACCACCCCUUUCCAGCAGGCCAGUGGCUAUGGCCAGCACAGCUACAGCGCAGGUUACGAUGACGUGAGCCAGGGGGCGGCGGCGGGAGACUACACCAAGGGUGGCUAUGGUGGAUCAUCGCAGGCACAGAGCAAGUCUGCAGGUUCUGGGCCUGGCAAAGGAGUGUCGGCGUCUUCGAGCGGCCCCGGCCUCCCUGACGUGACUGGGUCCGUCUACAGCAAGACUCAGACUUUCGACAGGCAGGGAUUUCACGCAGGGACCCCACCACCGUUCAGCCUGCCCUCGGCCUUGGGCUCCCCUGGGCCCCUGGGCCCCGGUUACGCGCCCUCACCGCUCGUGCACGUCCUGCCCGCCCACCAGCAGCCUCACUCACAGCUGCUGCACCACCACCUCCCGCAGGACGCUCAGAGCGGCGCGGGUCAGCGCAGCCAGCCCAGCUCCCUGCAGCCCAAGUCACAAGCCUCCAAACCUGCCUACGGCAACUCUCCAUACUGGACAAACUGAACCCUGAAGAGCUGGGGGGCCAGGGCGGGGCCUGGCCAGGGCGGGGCCUACCCCGGGCAGGAGAGCACACAGAGACCAGCACCCUCCCCAGAGUUUCUGAGACGUGUCAGCCGAGCCUCUGUGGGGAGCCUGCCUCCCAGACUCCCUGUUGUAUGUAAUGUAUUUAUGUAUGUAUUUGUAAAUGUGGUAGAAGGCUUGGGGGAGGGGGGAGCAGCUGCUCCUCUCCCCACUCAAGCCCCUUCCUGCUGUAGCAGCAGCAGCCCCCUUCCCCCCUUCUGCCUUCAGGCCUUCUACAGAGCCCCCUGGUGGGCAGCGUCUGGAAGGGCUGGCUGGAGGCAGUUUGGGGACUGGGGUCAGGUACCAAUGAAGAAUCACGGCUCAUCUCCCUCCCUUCUCCCUCCCUUGUAAACCAUUCUUUGAGUUUUCGUCCCUGUGUAAUUACUUUAUCCCUUGCUUUUUGAGAAACUGGUCCUUUUGUCAUCUGUCAUGUUCCCCUCCCUCCAAACCUUGAUCUGGGAAUGGCAGAGAGAUAGCCCUGCCCCCCCCCCCCCCCCCCUUAGAGGUGGCACCUGUUUGUCUCCACAGAGAGCUGGGGCUUCGGCUUCUGAUCUGGUCUUGUCCCCAGAGACUUGCCUUCCUCUGGCUGACCAUUUUUAAAAUAAUCUGAAUUUGCGCUCAGAGAUACUCAGCCAGUCAGCUCCCCUUUAAAAAAAAAAAAAAUCAAAGAUAUGCCUUCAUCUCAGUGACAACAUGUCUCCAAGCAAAGGCUCCUCUAUUCCAGUCGUCCUGAACCAGGUGGGCGACUGUUUCAGAGGUUUUCUCUUUUGCCCAAACUCCACCUAAUAAAGUUCUGAGAGCAUACUUUCUCUGUGUGGUGUGACUCAGGGAGAGCUCAGGGCAGAGACCAUCUUCAUUAUGGUUCCAGGGACCCUGGACUUCACAGGGCUGAAGUAGAGCUCCCGUUGUCACAGGCUUCUGAUAACAGGGUGUUAGGGCUUCAGUGGGUAUUCCUUGCUUUGCUGGGCCCUUCUCUUGUCCCAAAACAAUCAGCAUUCAGGGAGGGAAAAGGUAAAGGACGCAGCUGACAAGGUAGCUAACCCUCCUGACAGGCAGUGCUUAUCAACGGUUACCUUUGUUUUUCUUGCAACUCUGUAACAGACUUAGGGGACAAGGCGGUCUCUAAAAGGGUCUUGUCAACAGGAUAUUACGGUAGGGUAAUUUCUUUUCCAAAGGAACAAAGGUAAGAACUCUGAGAAUACAGUUCCAGGCCUAAGUUUGCACAGCUAAACCUCUCUGCCCUUUGCUCUUCAUCAACCAAAUGCAAUCUUGAUUGACCGUCGAGGACUGUGGCGGGACAGAUGACUAGUGAGCCAGGGUGGUGUGAAGUAGGUAAGUGGGUCCUGGGCUAAAUAUCUGCUCCAGAAAGUCCCAAGGAACCAUUCACCUGGGGCCAGGAUUCUGACUUCUCUUAAGCUCCUCCCUCCUGAUUCCAGGCCACCAGUCCAGAAGGAACUGGGGCCGUAAAACUAUCCAUGUCUCCGCCAGGAGGCAGAUCUCCAUGCUUGUCUGAGGCGCAGCUGUAUUCCAGCCUGGCAGCUGGCUCAAGGCCUUGAGGUGUUGCCUGAGGCAUUAUAGCAUCCCGUUUCAAGUCAGCGUGCCAGAACCAGCCCAGGGGGUACAGUCUUUACCUUGUCUGUUUUUGACCUCCAAAAUCAAUGGUCAUUCAUCAGAUAGGUCAAGCACUGCUGGCUUAAAAAAAAAAAAGUGUCCACAACUGAAACUUACUAAAUUAUGUGAUCUAUUGCUUUCUGAUCCCUUCUUUUAGCAGCGGGAAGUUGACAAGUGACAAUGAAAACAAAAAACUUGCGUAAGGAGGGCAGUGGAGCACUCCUCCAUCACUUCACCGACCUACUUGUACUGGCAGCUUGCGCCCUAUUUCAGAAUUAAGUUUUUCAGCUGACUCCUGUGCAUAAUCUGCAAGGGAACAGAGCAAGUAUUAAGACCACCUUUUAAUUUUAAUACACAAAAAAAGAAGAGGGUCAUCCCAUGGGGAAGUAGCAAUACAGGUAUAUUUUAUUUCACAUUUUAUUAGUAGACAGAUGGGCAGAAAAAGACAAAAAAUAAACCACUAAAGGGGAAAUUGAACACAAAAUGCAUCAGAUAAUCUUUUCUCAUAAGUUAAAGAAAA